UGGGGAAUAUUGGACAAUGGGCGCAAGCCUGAUCCAGCCAUGCCGCGUGGAUGAUGACGGCCCUAGGGUUGUAAAGUCCUUUCGACGGGGAAGAUAAUGACGGUACCCGUAGAAGAAGCCCCGGCUAACUUCGUGCCAGCAGCCGCGGUAAUACGAAGGGGGCUAGCGUUGCUCGGAAUCACUGGGCGUAAAGCGCACGUAGGCGGCUUUCUAAGUCAGGGGUGAAAUCCUGGAGCUCAACUCCAGAACUGCCUUUGAUACUGGAAAGCUUGAGUUCGGGAGAGGUGAGUGGAACUGCGAGUGUAGAGGUGAAAUUCGUAGAUAUUCGCAAGAACACCAGUGGCGAAGGCGGCUCACUGGCCCGAUACUGACGCUGAGGUGCGAAAGCGUGGGGAGCAAACA
rnacentral:rRNA from 1 species